UAGAGUUUGAUCAUGGCUCAGGAUGAACGCUAGCGACAGGCUUAACACAUGCAAGUCGAGGGGCAGCGGGGGAGAAAGCUUGCUUUCUCCCGCCGGCGACCGGCGCACGGGUGAGUAACACGUAUGUAACCUGCCCUCUGCCGGGGGAUAAGCGGAAGAAAUUCCGUCUAAUACCGCAUAAYACACAUCCSGGGCAUCCSGRGKSUGUCAAAGGAGCAAUCCGGCAGAGGAUGGRCAUGCGGCGCAUUAGCCAGUCGGCGGGGUAACGGCCCACCGAGGCGACGAUGCGUAGGGGUUCUGAGAGGAAGGUCCCCCACACUGGUACUGAGACACGGACCAGACUCCUACGGGAGGCAGCAGUGAGGAAUAUUGGUCAAUGGGCGGAAGCCUGAACCAGCCAAGUCGCGUGAGGGAAGACGGUCCUAUGGAUUGUAAACCUCUUUUGCAGGGGAGCAAGGCGCGGUACGUGUACCGUGAAGGAGAGUACCCUGAGAAAAAGCAUCGGCUAACUCCGUGCCAGCAGCCGCGGUAAUACGGAGGAUGCGAGCGUUAUCCGGAUUUAUUGGGUUUAAAGGGUGCGCAGGCGGACUGUUAAGUCAGCGGUAAAAUGUCGGUGCUCAACACCGGCCGGCCGUUGAAACUGGCAGCCUUGAGUGAGCGAGAAGUAUGCGGAAUGCGUGGUGUAGCGGUGAAAUGCAUAGAUAUCACGCAGAACUCCGAUUGCGAAGGCAGCAUACCGGCGCUCAACUGACGCUCAGGCACGAAAGCGUGGGUAUCGAACAGGCUUAGAUACCCUGGUAGUCCACGCAGUAAACGAUGAAUGCUCACUGUCCGGUCCGAUUAAGGACUGGGCGGUCAAGCGAAAGCGUUAAGCAUUCCACCUGGGGAGUACGCCGGCAACGGUGAAACUCAAAGGAAUUGACGGGGGCCCGCACAAGCGGAGGAACAUGUGGUUUAAUUCGAUGAUACGCGAGGAACCUUACCCGGGCUCAAACGGAAGKGGACGGACUGAGAAAUCAGUCUUUCCUUCGGGACCGCUUCCGAGGUGCUGCAUGGUUGUCGUCAGCUCGUGCCGUGAGGUGUCGGCUUAAGUGCCAUAACGAGCGCAACCCCUACCGACAGUUGCUAACAGAUUAAGCUGAGGACUCUGUCGGGACUGCCGGCGCAAGCUGUGAGGAAGGCGGGGAUGACGUCAAAUCAGCACGGCCCUUACGUCCGGGGCGACACACGUGUUACAAUGGCAGGUACAGCGGGAAGCCACCCGGCGACGGGGCGCGGAACCCGAAAACCUGUCUCAGUUCGGAUUGGAGUCUGCAACCCGACUCCAUGAAGCUGGAUUCGCUAGUAAUCGCGCAUCAGCCACGGCGCGGUGAAUACGUUCCCGGGCCUUGUACACACCGCCCGUCAAGCCAUGGAAGCCGGGAGUGCCUGAAGUACGUUACCGCAAGGAACGUCCUAGGGUAAAACCGGUGACUGGGGCUAAGUCGUAACAAGGUAACCGUA
rnacentral:rRNA from 1 species